rnacentral:tRNA from 1 species
GCGGGCGUGGCGAAACUCGGCAGACGCGUAAGUUUCAGGAACUUAUGGGAGCAAUCCCGUGGAGGUUCAAAUCCUCUCGCCCGCACCA